UUUGAUGUAAAUUGAUAUAUGUUUGGAUACACUUUCUUAAAAGCGAUUCUUACGAGUUGAUGUCGUUUUGAUAG
rnacentral:pre_miRNA from 1 species